CCCAUUUCAGCCUCUCAAAGUGCUGGGAUUAUAGACGUGAGCCACCAUGCCCGGCCCCUCAUAGACUAUUAUGAGUGAACUUGAAUGUGGUGGGAGCUCAGAAAGGGAGGUCCCCAACUCAGAACCGAGCUAACCCCUAUUUUCUGAGCACCUCCCAAUAGCCAGCACUGUGGUGGGCACAUACACAUUCACACCCCAUGUGGUCCUCCAACAACCCCGACAGAUCAGCAUGGACAACCUCUAUCUCUCAGGUUUUCAGAGCGCGGCCCACCCUGCAGUUGUGGAGAGAGGGAGUCGUCGCGGAGUUCCCAAACCGCUGAAGGGCAGACCUGGACCGUUCCUGGAAUGUGGGAAAUGAGUGCGACGGCAUACUGGGGCUGCAUCAGCCCGUCUCUAGAAAAACCAUCGCCUCCAGAUCUGGCCCCCAGAUUGAGUCCCAGGAUUUCCGGGCUGGUUCCAAGAACCUGAUCCGGAAAAUGGGCGCGGUUCCUGUCUCCUCCCCCUUCCCCUCGGGCCGGUUGGGCACAGUACUUAGGACCCAAAUCUGGACCUAAUGCCAAGGCCGCCCAUCCAGCGCCCAGACUCAGCUGGCCUUGCGCUCCCUGAAGCCACUCGCGGGUACUGGGGACGCCCCUCCCCGUCCCGCGGCCCCUACCCCCACUUCCGCGUAGUCCCGG
rnacentral:lncRNA from 1 species